rnacentral:rRNA from 1 species
CCUACGGGAGGCAGCAGUGGGGAAUAUUGCACAAUGGGCGCAAGCCUGAUGCAGCCAUGCCGCGUGUGUGAAGAAGGCCUUCGGGUUGUAAAGCACUUUCAGCGGGGAGGAAGGCGGUGAGGUUAAUAACCUUGGCGAUUGACGUUACCCGCAGAAGAAGCACCGGCUAACUCCGUGCCAGCAGCCGCGGUAAUACGGAGGGUGCAAGCGUUAAUCGGAAUUACUGGGCGUAAAGCGCACGCAGGCGGUCUGUCAAGUCGGAUGUGAAAUCCCCGGGCUCAACCUGGGAACUGCAUUCGAAACUGGCAGGCUAGAGUCUUGUAGAGGGGGAAUUCCAGGUGUAGCGGUGAAAUGCGUAGAGAUCUGGAGGAAUGGCAGUGGCGAAGGCGGCCCCCUGGACAAAGACUGAGCCUCAGGUGCGAAAGCGUGGGGAGCAAACAGGAUUAGAUACCCUGGUAGUCCACGCCGUAAACGAUGUCGAUUUGGAGGUUGUGCCCUUGAGGCGUGGCUUCCGGAGCUAACGCGUUAAAUCGACCGCCUGGGGAGUACGGCCGCAAGGUUAAAACUCAAAUGAAUUGACGGGGGCCCGCACAAGCGGUGGAGCAUGUGGUUUAAUUCGAUGCAACGCGAAGAACCUUACCUGGUCUUGACAUCCACAGAACAAUCCAGAGAUGGAUUGGUGCCUUCGGGAACUGUGAGACAGGUGCUGCAUGGCUGUCGUCAGCUCGUGUUGUGAAAUGUUGGGUUAAGUCCCGCAACGAGCGCAACCCUUAUCCUUUGUUGCCAGCGGUUAGGCCGGGAACUCAAAGGAGACUGCCAGUGAUAAACUGGAGGAAGGUGGGGAUGACGUCAAGUCAUCA